GCCCGCCUAGCUCAAUCGGAUAGAGCGUCAGAAUCUUACCUAUUUGAUGACUGAAAUGCUGCCAGUUCGAACCACAUGGUGGGCU